rnacentral:rRNA from 1 species
UCAGGAUGAACGCUAGCGGCAGGCUUAACACAUGCAAGUCGAGGGGCGAGCGGGAUGUAGCAAUACAUUGCCGGCGACCGGCGGAUGGGUGCGUAACGCGUAUGCAACCUACCUUAUACAGGGGAAUAACCUUUCGAAAGGGAGACUAACACCCCAUAGUAUUGAUUUAAGGCAUCUUAGAUUAAUUAAAUAUUUAUAGGUAUAAGAUGGGCAUGCGUAUGAUUAGCUAGUUGGUAAGGUAACGGCUUACCAAGGCGACGAUCAUUAGGGGUUCUGAGAGGAAGGUCCCCCCACACUGGUACUGAGACACGGACCAGACUCCUACGGGAGGCAGCAGUGAGGAAUAUUGGUCAAUGGGCGCAAGCCUGAACCAGCCAUGCCGCGUGCAGGAAAAGACGGCCUUAUGGGUUGUAAACUGCUUUUACAUAAGACUAACCGUAUAUUUGCGAAUAUACCUGAAUGUAUUAUGAGAAUAAGGAUCGGCUAACUCCGUGCCAGCAGCCGC